CCUUAGGGUCUAGUGGCGCACGGGUGCGUAACGCGUGGGAACCUGCCUUUAGGUUGGGAAUAAUUCCCCGAAAGGGGUGCUAAUACCGGAUAAUGUCUUGGGACCAAAGAUUUAUCGCCUUUAGAUGGGCCUGCGUAAGAUUAGGUAGUUGGUGGGGUAAAGGCCUACCAAGCCGACGAUCUUUAGCUGGUAUGAGAGGAUGAUCAGCCACACUGGGAGUGAGACCCGGCCCAGACUCUUACGGGAGGCAGCAGUGGGGAAUAUUGGACAAUGGGCGAAAGCUUGAUCCAGCAAUGCCGCGUGAGUGAUGAAGGCCUUAGGG
rnacentral:rRNA from 1 species